rnacentral:tRNA from 1 species
GGGGAGAUGCCGGAGUGGUCAAACGGGUCUGGCUUAGGACCAGAUAGCUUACGCUUACAGGGGUUCGAAUCCUCUUCUCCCCA